rnacentral:rRNA from 1 species
GACGUAGGGCGCGAGCGUUGUCCGGAUUUAUUGGGCGUAAAGAGCUCGUAGGCGGUUUGUCGCGUCGUUCGUGAAAACUCACAGCUUAACUGUGAGCUUGCGGUCGAUACGGGCAGGCUAGAGUUCGGUAGGGGAGACUGGAAUUCCUGGUGUAGCGGUGAAAUGCGCAGAUAUCAGGAGGAACACCGAUGGCGAAGGCAGAUCUCUGGGCCGUAACUGACGCUGAGGAGCGAAAGCAUGGGGAGCGAACAGG